CUGAUGUCCUUUGUCCUCCACGUUGCAUACAAGCGAUCUAAGACUGCUUGGGCACAUGUGUCUUGUACUUUUCUGUACAGGACAAGAAUACCAAAAUAAGGCAGAGGAACCUCGCUCAGCUCCAGGUCCCAUCUCUAGAUGACUGGAUGACUCCUGAGUCCACCAUCUUCUAUGGCAUUUCCUGAUGGGCAUGCUAGCUGCUGGGAAACCCAUUCCUAAAAACCUAAUUUUCCUCACACGCCGGGAAGGAAGCAUCUACAGGUAGCUCAUGUUGGUGAGUGGUACUGCAGGACGUGGGACAAGGGACACUCAAACGUACAGCCUGAGAUGGUCCAGCUCUUCUUUUAUGUGUCCGUUUCAGUGGGGAUGUUUAAUCAGGUCUAAAUAUAAGAAACAUUUGCAUGUUUAGCAAAGAGGACAGAUGAUGGAUUCCAGUACCUCUAACUUGCAUGUAAG